AUUUAUGGCUGUACCAGCCUGAAUACGCCUGAUCUUGGAAGCUAAGCACUUUGGUGGAGGUUAGUAUGUGGAUGGGAGACUGACUGGGAAUACCAGGGGCUGUAAACU
rnacentral:rRNA from 1 species